rnacentral:rRNA from 1 species
CAUGGGCGUUCUUAGUUCGUGGAGUGAUCUGUCUGCUUAAUUGCGUUUCACUAAGGGCCCAUAAAUUCAAGGUAUGUUAGCUAUCGUUUCUCAAUUGACCCCUUGUCUUCGAUAAGCGCGUGUCUUUUAGAGUUUAAACAUUGCGCAUGCUGUUGGGUCCUGAAAGCAACGAACGUGACCGCAACGUCUUAUUGCCUUUAUCUUGCUAUAUUUUAAUUUAAUUAAAAAUAGCUAACAGAGGCUAAUUUAAAAUUAGACGGACCGCUGUACUUUUCUUAAACCAGAGGAAGGUUGCGGCAAUAACAGGUCUGUGAUGCCCUUAGAUGUUCCGGGCUGCACACGUGCUACAAUGAUCAGUACAGUGAGCAUCUCAAUAUUAUACACCGUAUUAAGCGCUUAGUUGCGAUUAUUGGCUCAUUAUUGGGUCUUUUAAUUGUAUUUCUAAUGCGCGCGGUAAAGCCUGCUUCGAGAGUAAGUGGGUAAUCCAUUGGAAGUAAUGAUUUCUCUUUUUAUAGCACACCUAUAUACGGCAUUCAUUCCCGGGACGACUAGUUUCGUCUUUUUUGUGCGAAUGUAAUGUAUUCUUUAUCCGUAUGUGCGAUUGUCAAUU